rnacentral:sRNA from 1 species
GAGCUUCAUUCCAUUCCCUCCAAUGGAAAACAAGGUUUUGGUCCGGUCAGCAUGGUAGCGCCAGAUGUGAGGUUAUAGAACGUCCUAAAAGCGAGUGAAACAGGUAAAAUGAAUGUAUGGUAUCUGUAGUGUUGUCUGUGUUGCAAGAAGUAUAACUCAAGGCUUGUAGACACAAGUGAGUCGAUGGUAUUCUUUCAAGAAAUUUUGACUUGCUAAUAAAUUAAACUAUUGUUUGUGUG